UAUAUAUUGGAGAUGCAGAGUGAAGAGAAAAAUACACACAGUAUAUUAUCUACUGCCAACUCCAAUUAGCAAAUGAAUUCCAGUCAAUCACUGAGUAUCCAAACAAAUAGAUCCUUGGAAGUUCCACAAGCCGUAAAAUAUGGCUUUAAUCAGUAUGACAUGACAUAUGCACAGAAUAAUAGUCUACUUGAAACUACUGUUCCACAAGUCUCCGACAAACAAAUGGAUUAAAUCCCUCAAAUAAAAAUAUAAUGGAGAAGUUAGAAGCUAUAGGCAAUGAACAAAGUAUUCAAAGUUUAAAGAUUGACCGUCUAUUAUUGAAAAUGGAUAACAUUUCACAGGCUUUAAAAAACAAAAAUGAUUUGAUCAACCAUUUCAGCAUAUAACACAUAAGGAAAUUGAAAAUACAACUUCUUCUUUGUA